UUUAGAACCGCAUGGUUCUAAAGUAAAAAAUGGUUUUGCUAUCACUUAUAGAUGGACCCGCGCCGUAUUAGCUAGUUGGUAAGGUAACGGCUUACCAAGGCGACGAUACGUAGCCGACCUGAGAGGGUGAUCGGCCACACUGGAACUGAGACACGGUCCAGACUCCUACGGGAGGCAGCAGUAGGGAAUCUUCCGCAAUGGGCGAAAGCCUGACGGAGCAACGCCGCGUGAGUGAUGAAGGGUUUCGGCUCGUAAAACUCUGUUAUUAGGGAAGAACAAAUGUGUAAGUAACUGUGCACAUCCUUGACGGUACCUAAUCAGAAAGCCACGGNC
rnacentral:rRNA from 1 species